GGUUAAGGCUCAGUGGUAGAGCACUUGCCUAGCAUGUGUGAGGCUCUGGGUUUGAUUCUCAGCACCA
rnacentral:tRNA from 1 species